rnacentral:rRNA from 1 species
UAGAGAAGAACAAGGAUGAGAGUAACUGUUCAUCCCUUGACGGUAUCUAACCAGAAAGCCACGGCUAACUACGUGCCAGCAGCCGCGGUAAUACGUAGGUGGCAAGCGUUGUCCGGAUUUAUUGGGCGUAAAGCGAGCGCAGGCGGUUUCUUAAGUCUGAUGUGAAAGCCCCCGGCUCAACCGGGGAGGGUCAUUGGAAACUGGGAGACUUGAGUGCAGAAGAGGCAGGGGGAAUUCCAUGUGUAGCGGUGAAAUGCGUAGAUAUAUGGAGGAACACCAGUGGCGAAGGCGGCUCUCUGGUCUGUAACUGACGCUGAGGCUCGAAAGCGUGGGGAGCAAACAGGAUUAGAUACCCUGGUAGUCCACGCCGUAAACGAUGAGUGCUAAGUGUUGGAGGGUUUCCGCCCUUCAGUGCUGCAGCUAACGCAUUAAGCACUCCGCCUGGGGAGUACGACCGCAA